GCCGGCGUGGCGAAAUUGGUAGACGCGCGAGUCUCAGACACUCGUGGGCAACCAUGUAGGUUCGAGUCCUACCGCCGGCACCA
rnacentral:tRNA from 1 species